UACGUAGGUGGCAAGCGUUGUCCGGAAUUACUGGGCGUAAAGGGCGCGUAGGCGGAUACUUAAGUCGGGGGUGAAAGCCCAGGGCUCAACCCUGGAAUAGCCUUCGAUACUGGGUAUCUUGAGUUCGGGAGAGGUGAGUGGAACUCCGAGUGUAGAGGUGAAAUUCGUAGAUAUUCGGAAGAACACCAGUGGCGAAGGCGACUCACUGGCCCGAUACUGACGCUGAGGCGCGAAAGCGUGGGGAGCAAACAGG
rnacentral:rRNA from 1 species